GACGAACGCUGGCGGCGUGCCUAACACAUGCAAGUCGAACGAAGUGGCGAACGGGUGAGUAAUGCGUAAUCAACCUGCCCUUCAGAGGGGGACAACAGUUGGAAACGACUGCUAAUACCGCAUACUGAAGGAGGGGAUUGCGUCUGCUUAGCUAGUUGGAGGGGAAACGGCCCACCAAGGCUAUGAUCAGUAGCCUGUCUGUGAGGUUGAACGGCUCCAUUGGGACUGAGGACCGGCCGAGACUCCUGCAGGAGGCAACAGUGGGGAAUCUUCCGCAAUGGACGAAAGUCUGACGGAGCAACGCCGCGUGAGUGAUGACGGCCUUCGGGUUGUAAAGCUCUGUUAAUCGGGGCGCGGUACCGGAAUAGAAAGCCACGGCUAACUACGUGCCAGCAGCCGCGGUAAUUC
rnacentral:rRNA from 1 species